rnacentral:rRNA from 1 species
AAACUAACAAGGAUUCCCUUAGUAGCGGCGAGCGAAGCGGGAAGAGCUCAAAUUUGAAAGCUGGCGUCCUACGGGCGUCCGCAUUGUAAUCUAUAGAGGCGUUUUCUGUGCUGGACCGUGUCCAAGUCCCUUGGAACAGGGUAUCAAAGAGGGUGACAAUCCCGUACUUGACACGACAACCAGUGCUCUGUGAUACGUCUUCUACGAGUCGAGUUGUUUGGGAAUGCAGCUCAAAAUGGGUGGUGAAUUCCAUCUAAAGCUAAAUAUUGGCGAGAGACCGAUAGCGAACAAGUACCGUGAGGGAAAGAUGAAAAGCACUUUGGAAAGAGAGUUAAACAGUAUGUGAAAUUGUUGAAAGGGAAACGAUGGAGGUCAGUCGUGUCUGUGGGAUUCAGCCGUCUCUGGCGGUGUACUUCCCACAGACGGGUCAACAUCAGUUUUGGCUGGCGGAUAAAGGCAGGAGGAAGGUGGCACCCCCGGGUGUGUUAUAGCCUCUUGUUGCAUA